rnacentral:lncRNA from 1 species
AUGCUGCUCUGUAUUAGUCAAGACAAAUCUGCCCCCUCCUCUGCUCCAGCUCCUGAAAUCAAUAAAAUGGCAGGUCUGGCCUCCCACUUUUUUGACAAUAAGCUUGAACUCUACAAAGAAAUGGAUGACUUUGCAGAGCAUUCAUGGUGCCUUCUCACUGCAGCUGUUUUUGGCAUGCCUACGUUUUCUAGAUCCUUCACAGUUACCUCCAAUGUGUCCUUUCCCAGGCCCGUACAGAAUGGGACAGCAACCAAAUUCCUGUGUGGCCACUGGAAAACUCCCACCACCCCUAGCCUGGACAGGAAGAAGAUUUAUUGGGAGCUGAGCAAUCAGACCCAAGGUAUCACCAGGCUGGGUGCCUAUACCCUGGACAAUAAGAGCCUCUAUCUCGAUGCACCAGACCCAGCAGUAGCACCUGGUUGUCCCCUGUGGGCCACAGAGCCUGGAGGCUCCCAAGCUGCCAGCUUAAGCUUCCAGUCUUUCACCACCAUUCCCGAGGUGCUGUACACAGAAGAUAUACAUCUUUCUGGAUCUGACAAGUUCAACUUCACCAAAAGAACCCUGCAGCAGUGAGUCUGCCCAAUCCCUUCCUCAUACCCCAAAAAGUCUGCUUUAUUGUGAAUCUCCCCUUACCCUUGUAUUCUCAGGAAAUUCAUUCCUGUUUUGGGGGUAUGGUUUAGAACAAAUUUUCUAAGAUAAAUAUUCAAUCCAGUGGGGAUCUUGGUUUAAAC